CGCCACCAUGCCCGUUGUAUAUAUAUAUAUAUAUAUAUAUAUAUAUAUAUAUAUAUAUAUACAAUGGGCAUGGUGGCG
rnacentral:pre_miRNA from 1 species